UCCUAUGGAUGAGCAGAGAAAGUGGUUUCUUGAAAUGGAAACUACUUCUGAUGAAGAUGCUGGGAA
rnacentral:pre_miRNA from 1 species